rnacentral:rRNA from 1 species
UGGCGGACGGGUGAGUAAUGUCUGGGAAACUGCCCGAUGGAGGGGGAUAACUACUGGAAACGGUAGCUAAUACCGCAUAACGUCGCAAGACCAAAGAGGGGGACCUUAGGGCCUCUUGCCAUCGGAUGUGCCCAGAUGGGAUUAGCUAGUAGGUGGGGUAAUGGCUCACCUAGGCGACGAUCCCUAGCUGGUCUAAGAGGAUGACCUGCCACACUGGAACUGAGACACGGUCCAG